AGAAUGAACGCUGGCGGCGUGCUUUACACAUGCAAGUCGAGCGAGGCGGGGAGCAAUCCCCCAGUCGAGCGGCGAACGGGUGAGUAACGCGUGGAUGACCUGCCCUACAGCGGGGAAUAACCCGGGGAAACUUGGGCUAAUACCGCAUACGACCGAGAGGUGAAAGGGGGCUCGCAAGGGCUCUCGCUGAAGGAGGGGUCCGCGUUCGAUUAGCUAGUUGGUAGGGUAAUGGCCUACCAAGGCGACGAUCGAUAGCCGGCCUGAGAGGUGAUCGGCACACUGGAACUGAGACACGGUCAGACCUCCGUACGGGAGGCGAGCGAGGUGGGUAAUUUGCGCGAAGUGGCUAACGCCUGACGACAGCAACGCCGCGUCGGAGGAGUGAAGGUUCGUUGGGUAUUAGUAAACCUUCUCGGUCGAACG
rnacentral:rRNA from 1 species